ACUACGGGUGGCAGCAGUGGGGAAUAUUGCGCAAUGGGCGAAAGCCUGACGCAGCGACGCCGCGUGAGGGAUGAAGGUCUUCGGAUCGUAAAACUCUGUCAGCAGGGAAGAACGGUCACUGUGCUAAUCAGCAGUGAAUUGACGGUACCUGCAAAGGAAGCACCGGCUAACUCCGUGCAAGCAGCCGCGGUAAUACGGAGGGUGCGGGCGUUAAUUGGAAUUACUGGGCGUAAAGCGCUCGUAGGCGGAAGGUCAAGUCAAGGGUGAAAUCCCCGCGCUGAACGUGGGAACUUCCUUUGAAACUGGCAAACUGGAGUGUGUGAGAGGAUAGUGGAAUUCCAGGUGUAGGAGUGAAAUCGGUAGAGAUCUGGAGGAACAUCAGUGGCGAAGGCGACUAUCUGGCACAUAACUGACGCUGAGGAGCGAAAGCGUGGGUAGCAAACAGGAUUAGAUACCCCGGUAGUC
rnacentral:rRNA from 1 species